rnacentral:sRNA from 1 species
UCACAUCUGUGCCUAAGGCUCCUAUUGACAAAGACUCUCUGCAUUAGGUAGUAAAUAACUAGAUGUAUGAAUGCUGCUAACUUUAUAAAAGAAAACUGUAAUUUCAUUACCAGAAGUACAAUGAUUUAAUUAUUAUGUCAGAGCUUCUACACUCAUUAGUUUAUAUUUACCUACUUGCCCAUUAGUGUAUAUUUACAAGUCACAGUUUCUUAAAUUUUAUAGGGACUCUCAAUGCAGAAGAUCAAAGUUCGUGAAAAGUCAGUCUUAAGGUGCUUCUUAAAUUUACAGGUGUAAACCUUCUGGUGGGGACUGAAAAUGGCCUGAUGCUUUUGGACCGAAGUGGGCAAGGCAAAGUCUAUAAUCUGAUCAACCGGAGGCGAUUUCAGCAGAUGGAUGUGCUAGAGGGACUAAAUGUCCUUGUGACAAUUUCAGGAAAGAAGAAUAAGCUACGAGUUUACUAUCUUUCAUGGUUAAGAAACAGAAUACUACAUAAUGACCCAGAAGUAGAAAAGAAACAAGGCUGGAUCACUGUUGGGGACUUGGAAGGCUGUAUACAUUAUAAAGUUGUUAAAUAUGAAAGGAUCAAAUUUUUGGUGAUUGCCUUAAAGAAUGCUGUGGAAAUAUAUGCUUGGGCUCCUAAACCAUAUCAUAAAUUCAUGGCAUUUAAGUCUUUUGCAGAUCUCCAGCACAAGCCUCUGCUAGUUGAUCUCACAGUAGAAGAAGGUCAAAGAUUAAAGGUUAUUUUUGGUUCACACACUGGUUUCCAUGUAAUUGAUGUUGAUUCAGGAAACUCUUAUGAUAUCUACAUACCAUCUCAUAUUCAGGGCAAUAUCACUCCUCAUGCUAUUGUCAUCUUGCCUAAAACAGAUGGAAUGGAAAUGCUUGUUUGCUAUGAGGAUGAGGGGGUGUAUGUAAACACCUAUGGCCGGAUAACUAAGGAUGUGGUGCUCCAAUGGGGAGAAAUGCCCACGUCUGUGGGUAGGUUAACCCUUCCUUAUCUCCUUCAGCAGUUACACCCCCCAAAUGAAACGAAAAUCAAGAAAUGUGAAACAACCAUUUGAUUCCACCAAAAAAAAAAAAAAAAUCUGUGAAUAACUCUUGUAAGACUUGCUUUGUCCAUUUAUCUCAAGUCGUUUGUCAUUUUUGUGGUUAAGAUGUGAACAGAUGCUGUGAGUUAU